GCAGCUAUGGUGUUAGUGGUUAGCACAUCUGCCUUCCAAGCAGAGAGGGCGGGUUCGAGUCCCGUUGGUUGCUCCA
rnacentral:tRNA from 1 species